UUGUUACUGCGAAGGGGGGACGGAGAAGGCUAUGUUGGCCGGGCGACGGUUGUCCCGGUUUAAGCGUGUAGGCUGGUUUUCCAGGCAAAUCCGGAAAAUCAAGGCUGAGGCGUGAUGACGAGGCACUACGGUGCUGAAGCAACAAAUGCCCUGCUUCCAGGAAAAGCCUCUAAGCAUCAGGUAACAUAAAAUCGUACCCCAAACCGACACAGGUGGUCAGGUAGAGAAUACCAAGGCGCUUGAGAGAACUCGGGUGAAGGAACUAGGCAAAAUGGUGCCGUAACUUCGGGAGAAGGCACGCUGAUAUGUAGGUGAAGCGACUUGCUCGUGGAGCUGAAAUCAGUCGAAGAUACCAGCUGGCUGCAACUGUUUAUUAAAAACACAGCACUGUGCAAACACGAAAGUGGACGUAUACGGUGUGACGCCUGCCCGGUGCCGGAAGGUUAAUUGAUGGGGUUAGCCGCAAGGCGAAGCUCUUGAUCGAAGCCCCGGUAAACGGCGGCCGUAACUAUAACGGUCCUAAGGUAGCGAAAUUCCUUGUCGGGUAAGUUCCGACCUGCACGAAUGGCGUAAUGAUGGCCAGGCUGUCUCCACCCGAGACUCAGUGAAAUUGAACUCGCUGUGAAGAUGCAGUGUACCCGCGGCAAGACGGAAAGACCCCGUGAACCUUUACUAUAGCUUGACACUGAACAUUGAGCCUUGAUGUGUAGGAUAGGUGGGAGGCUUUGAAGUGUGGACGCCAGUCUGCAUGGAGCCGACCUUGAAAUACCACCCUUUAAUGUUUGAUGUUCUAACGUUGACCCGUAAUCCGGGUUGCGGACAGUGUCUGGUGGGUAGUUUGACUGGGGCGGUCUCCUCCUAAAGAGUAACGGAGGAGCACGAAGGUUGGCUAAUCCUGGUCGGGCAUCAGGAGGUUAGUGCAAUGGCAUAAGCCAGCUUGACUGCGAGCGUGACGGCGCGAGCAGGUGCGAAAGCAGGUCAUAGUGAUCCGGUGGUUCUGAAUGGAAGGGCCAUCGCUCAACGGAUAAAAGGUACUCCGGGGAUAACAGGCUGAUACCGCCCAAGAGUUCAUAUCGACGGCGGUUUUGGCACCUCGAUGUCGGCUCAUCACAUCCUGGGGCUGAAGUAGGUCCCAAGGGUAUGGCUGUUCGCCAUUUAAAGUGGUACGCGAGCUGGGUUUAGAACGUCGUGAGACAGUUCGGUCCCUAUCUGCCGUGGGCGCUGGAGAACUGAGGGGGGCUGCUCCUAGUACGAGAGGACCGGAGUGGACGCAUCACUGGUGUUCGGGUUGUCAUGCCAAUGGCACUGCCCGGUAGCUAAAUGCGGAAGAGAUAAGUGCUGAAAGCAUCUAAGCACGAAACUUGCCCCGAGAUGAGUUCUCCCUGACUCCUUGAGAGUCCUGAAGGAACGUUGAAGACGACGACGUUGAUAGGCCGGGUGUGUAAGCGCAGCGAUGCGUUGAGCUAACCGGUACUAAUGAACCGUGAGGCUUAACA
rnacentral:rRNA from 1 species